rnacentral:rRNA from 1 species
CAGUCGAGCGGAACGAGUUAUCUGAACCUUCGGGGGACGAUAACGGCGUCGAGCGGCGGACGGGUGAGUAAUGCCUAGGAAAUUGCCCUGAUGUGGGGGAUAACCAUUGGAAACGAUGGCUAAUACCGCAUGAUGCCUACGGGCCAAAGAGGGGGACCUUCGGGCCUCUCGCGUCAGGAUAUGCCUAGGUGGGAUUAGCUAGUUGGUGAGGUAAGGGCUCACCAAGGCGACGAUCCCUAGCUGGUCUGAGAGGAUGAUCAGCCACACUGGAACUGAGACACGGUCCAGACUCCUACGGGAGGCAGCAGUGGGGAAUAUUGCACAAUGGGCGCAAGCCUGAUGCAGCCAUGCCGCGUGUGUGAAGAAGGCCUUCGGGUUGUAAAGCACUUUCAGUCGUGAGGAAGGUGGUGUCGUUAAUAGCUGCAUUAUUUGACGUUAGCGACAGAAGAAGCACCGGCUAACUCCGUGCCAGCAG